GCAGGAGGAGCGUGGGUUGUAGAGAUGGCUGGCUCAGUCCGGCUUUCGCGCUGCCGUCCAUCCACCCGAGACACCAGUCCCUGCGUCCUCGCGUACAUCCUCUCUCGCUAUCACACACACUCUCUCUUCCAUCCUCUCACGCACGUCCUCGUGGCCGGAUAUUUGGUAAUUUCUUUUCUGAGCAUAAAUAGAUAUUGUGCCCCCACCUGUUUGUUGUUUUGCCCAGCUGAAAGGUGGAUCAAAUAUGAAAUACGUGAACGUUCCAUAGUGUGAAAAGCAAACCAUGGUCUUGUUAAAGUUCCGUUGAAUUUCUGUGAUACCUAAGAAGUAUUAAUGCUCAUAUUUUUGCAAUUUGCUCUCCACAACUUUCAGUCACUGGUUCUUGAGGAAAGCAGGUAAUGCAUUUUGUUUGUGUCAACUAUACUGAAUCUGCAAAGCCUUUUUUAUCUUCAGAGAAAUUCACACUCUGCAUUAGUUGCAAAAGAUGCUGAUUUUGAUCUUAACAAUUGCAGGGAACUAUGAGACUUGCACAGUUUGGGCAGCGUCAGCACAACAGGCAGAGUUUCUGUUCAAGUAGUAGCAGACCAGCAAAGCGCGGACGAGGAGAUCCAGGUCACGGGCCAUCCCCAUUUAGGUAUGAAUAUCGUUGCAAUUAGCAAGCAACCCUGAUGGCAGAAGCUAGCUACAUGCCUAGAUUGAUGCGUUCCGAUCUAUGUCAAUUAUAAGCUCCACAAGAAAAUAGCAAACUUUUGUAUCGACCGGGCGCAUCAGUGACUUGACGGGGAUAGCAAGACACAUAGAAGAAUAUAAAGCAUCAAGGUAGCAACUCGUUGGUUUUUGCUCCCAGCUGAUGCAUACUACUUUGCUUGCAGCCAUCGUCAACCAUUGUUGCUGGUAUCGUCACUUUUUUAGAACCAAAGAAAUAUUGCUUUUCAACUCAGAUGUGUGUUAGGUGAUGUUGCAUGCCAUUUUUGUUCAUCGGCCUGACAUGAUUUGGAUUGGUGCAGAGGUCGGUGUGAAUGAAAAGCUAGCUUCUGAAGACGCAGUCGAUUAUUAUUGCCUAUUUUUCUAUUGAAAGGUGUUGCUUCUUUUAUCUUGACAGGUACAUGUGUGUAUUAUGGAUACUUUUACUGUGAUGUUUCUUCUUUGUCACGGAGGCUUUGAAAUUGUUGUACAUAUUA